rnacentral:rRNA from 1 species
GACGUAGGGCGCGAGCGUUGUCCGGAUUUAUUGGGCGUAAAGAGCUCGUAGGCGGCUUGUCGCGUCGACUGUGAAAUCCCGCGGCUCAACCGCGGGUCUGCAGUCGAUACGGGCAGGCUAGAGUUCGGUAGGGGAGACUGGAAUUCCUGGUGUAGCGGUGAAAUGCGCAGAUAUCAGGAGGAACACCAAUUGCGAAGGCAGCUCGCUGGGACGGUACUGACGCUGAGACGCGAAAGCGUGGGGAGCGAACAGG